UGCCGGUUUGGCGGCGUUGGUCCGCCCCUA
rnacentral:sRNA from 1 species